rnacentral:lncRNA from 1 species
GUUCGUGACCAACAGGCGGAAGUGUAGACCAAUGUCAGUGGUUAUUGUGGUUUAUAGCUUUAUAAGUCAGUGACUGUAUUUAACAUAAUUUUAUAACGCAUUUUGAUAUCCUUGAUAGAGGAUAAGUGCUUAUAUACAUGAUAUGCAAUCAAGGGGUCUUAACAUUAAUGUCGAAUCUUUUUUUUUAUGAAAACCCUCGUGACGAAUUUGAAGGAAAACCUGUAAUUAACUUGAUGAGGUUUUUUUUUGUUGUCUUUAGAUUUAGUCAUUUGCGGUUUGUUUUUAGUCUUUUUAUGGUUUUCCAUGGAUUUAUCAACCCUUCUUUGAAUUUAUACUUUUGAAAGCUCUUGUAAACUGAGUUUUGAAUUCGAUAUAAGCAUACAUUUACAUAAGGGCAACUCGACUGGGGUACAUGCUUGAAAGGAUAUAAACACUGUGUAUCAUAACCACCGGAUAAAGAUACCCUUGGCUUGGAUCUCUGUUCAUUGUCUAAGAAAAAACACCAUUACUGUAAAAUACCAGCGUAUAGCUACCUGGGAACCCACAUGUUGGUAUUUGUACAGUAAAGUGGUUUUCCUUAGACAAUGAACAGAGAACCAGGCCGAGGGUACGUCAUGAUACACAAUUGAUCAUUCUCAAUUCGUGCAUUUGAAAUGUUCCAAUACUAAUUUCUCCAAUUUUCGUGCGUAUAUCUAUACGCCUUUGUUUUAGAUAUCGUUACAUACUCAAAAUGUUAUAUGUCUUUCAUAUCAGACAAAGGUAAAUAUGCACACCUUAAAUCAAAGUUGAAAUAACAAUGUUAUCACAAAACCAGGUUCAAUCCACCAU